UUUAAUUCGAUGCAACGCGAAGAACCUUACCUACUCUUGACAUCCACAGAACUUUCCAGAGAUGGAUUGGUGCCUUCGGGAACUGUGAGACAGGUGCUGCAUGGCUGUCGUCAGCUCGUGUUGUGAAAUGUUGGGUUAAGUCCCGCAACGAGCGCAACCCUUAUCCUUUGUUGCCAGCACGUAAUGGUGGGAACUCAAAGGAGACUGCCGGUGAUAAACCGGAGGAAGGUGGGGAUGACGUCAAGUCAUCAUGGCCCUUACGAGUAGGGCUACACACGUGCUACAAUGGCAUAUACAAAGAGAAGCGAACUCGCGAGAGCAAGCGGACCUCAUAAAGUAUGUCGUAGUCCGGAUCGGAGUCUGCAACUCGACUCCGUGAAGUCGGAAUCGCUAGUAAUCGUAGAUCAGAAUGCUACGGUGAAUACGUUCCCGGGCCUUGUACACACCGCC
rnacentral:rRNA from 1 species